GAUGAACGUUGGCGGUGUGCCUAAUACAUGCAAGUCGAACGGAGACUGUAGCAAUACUGUCUUAGUGGCGAACGGGUGAGUAACGCGUUGGUGAUCUGCCUCGAAGUGUGGAAUAACCUCCCGAAAGGGAAGCUAAUACCGCAUAGUCUCUCAAGGUUUAGAAAAUUGAGAGUAAAGGAUUUAUUCGCUUCGAGAGGAGCCUGCGUCCCAUCAGCUAGUUGGUAGGGUAACGGCCUACCAAGGCAAUGACGGGUAGGGGACCUGAGAGGGUGGCCCCCCAAAUGGAACUGAAACACGGUCCAUACACCUACGGGUGGCAGCAGUAGGGAAUAUUAGAAAUGGGCGGAAGCCUGAUCUAGCAACACCGCGUGUGCGAUGAAGGCCUUCGGGUCGUAAAGCUACUUUUUGGAGGGAAUAGGAAGGAAGGUACCUCCAGAAUAAGUCUCGGCUAACUACGUG
rnacentral:rRNA from 1 species